rnacentral:rRNA from 1 species
CAGGUAGUAACAGAGGGUUCGAUUCUGGCUCAGAUUGAACGCUGGCGGGAUGCUUUACACAUGCAAGUCGAACGGCAGCACGGACUUCGGUCUGGUGGCGAGUGGCGAACGGGUGAGUAAUGUAUCGGAACGUGCCUAGUAGCGGGGGAUAACUACGCGAAAGCGUAGCCAAUACCGCAUACGCCCUUCGGGGGAAAGCGGGGACCUUCGGGCCUCGCACUAUUAGAGCGGCCGAUAUCGGAUUAGCUAGUUGGUGGGGUAACGGCUCACCAAGGCGACGAUCCGUAGCUGGUUUGAGAGGACGACUCAGCCACACUGGGACUGAGACACGGCCCGUACCCUACGGGAGGCAGCAGUGGGGAAUUUUGGAAUGGGGGAAACUCCUGAUCCAGCCAUCCUGCGUGUGCGAUGAAGGCCUUCGGGUUGUAAAGCACUUUUGGCAGGAAAGAAAACGGCACGGGAUAAUACCCCGUGCAACUGACGGUACCUGCAGAAUAAGCACCGGCUAACUACGUGCCAGCAGCCGCGGUAAUGAGGGUGCAAGCAUCGGAAUUACUGGGCGGUAAAGCGUGCGUGAGGCGGUUCGGAAAGAAAGAUGUGAAAUCCCAGAGCUUAACUUUGGAACUGCAUUUUGGACCAUCGAGCUAGAGUGUCAGAGGGAGGUGGAAUUCCGCGUGUAGCAGUGAAAUGCGUAGAUAUGCGGAGGAACACCGAUGGCGAAGGCAGCCUCCCUGGGAUAACACUGACGCUCAUGCACGAAAGCGUGGGGAGCAAACAGGAUUAGAUACCCUGGGUAGUCCACGCCCUAAACGAUGUCAACUAGCUGUUGGGGCCGCUUCCUGGGCCUUGCAGGCGCAGCUAACGCGUGAAGUUGACCGGCCUGGGGAGUACGGUCGCAAGAGAUUAAAACUGUUGAAUUGACAAGACCGCACAAGCGUGGAUGAUGUGGAUUAAUCUGAUGCAACGCGAAAACCUUACCUACCCUUGACAUGUCUGAACUCUGAAGAGAUUUUUGGGGAGUGCCUUUUCGGGAAGAGAACCGGAACACAGGUGCUGCAUGGCUGUCGUCAGCUCGUGUCGUGAGAUGUUGGGUUAAGUCCCGCAACGAGCGCAACCCUUGUCAUUAGUUGCUACGAAAGGGCACCUAAUGAGACCGCCAGACAAACUGGAGGAAGGUGGGGAUGACGUCAAGUCCUCAUGGCCCUUAUGGGUAGGGCUUCACACGUCAUGCUGCCUGGUCGGGACAGAGGGUCGCCAACCCGCGAGGGGGAGCCAAUCCCAGAAACCCGAUCGUAGUCCGGAUCGCAGUCUGCAACUCGACUGCGUGAAGUCGGAAUCGCUAGUAAUCGCGGAUCAGCAUGUCGCGGUGAAUACGUUCCCGGGUCUUGUACACACCGCCCGUCACACCAUGGGAGUGGGUUUUACCAGAAGUAGUUAGCCUAACCGUAAGGAGGGCGAUUACUACGGUAGGAUUCAUGACUGGGGUGAAGUCGUAACAAGGUAG